rnacentral:rRNA from 1 species
GCUCAGAUUGAACGCUAGCGGGAUGCCUUACACAUGCAAGUCGAACGGCAGCACGGACUUCGGUCUGGUGGCGAGUGGCGAACGGGUGAGUAAUGUAUCGGAACGUGCCUAGUAGCGGGGGAUAACUACGCGAAAGCGUAGCUAAUACCGCAUACGCCCUACGGGGGAAAGCAGGGGAUCGCAAGACCUUGCACUAUUAGAGCGGCCGAUAUCGGAUUAGCUAGUUGGUGGGGUAACGGCUCACCAAGGCGACGAUCCGUAGCUGGUUUGAGAGGACGACCAGCCACACUGGGACUGAGACACGGCCCAGACUCCUACGGGAGGCAGCAGUGGGGAAUUUUGGACAAUGGGGGAAACCCUGAUCCAGCCAUCCCGCGUGUGCGAUGAAGGCCUUCGGGUUGUAAAGCACUUUUGGCAGGAAAGAAACGUCAUGGGUUAAUACCCUGUGAAACUGACGGUACCUGCAGAAUAAGCACCGGCUAACUACGUGCCAGCAGCCGCGGUAAUACGUAGGGUGCAAGCGUUAAUCGGAAUUACUGGGCGUAAAGCGUGCGCAGGCGGUUCGGAAAGAAAGAUGUGAAAUCCCAGAGCUUAACUUUGGAACUGCAUUUUUAACUACCGAGCUAGAGUGUGUCAGAGGGAGGUGGAAUUCCGCGUGUAGCAGUGAAAUGCGUAGAUAUGCGGAGGAACACCGAUGGCGAAGGCAGCCUCCUGGGAUAACAC